rnacentral:rRNA from 1 species
GAUGAACGCUAGCGACAGGCUUAACACAUGCAAGUCGAGGGGCAGCGGGGGUGCAGGCUUGCCUGCACCUGCCGGCGACCGGCGCACGGGUGAGUAACACGUAUGGAACCUGCCCGCCACAGGGGGAUAACCCGGGGAAACCCGGCCUAAUACCCCAUGCCGCCCGGACCGGGCAUCCGGACCGGGCGAAAGGAGGAAUCCGGUGGCGGCUGGGCAUGCGGCGCAUUAGCUUGACGGCGGGGUAACGGCCCACCGUGGCGACGAUGCGUAGGGGUUCUGAGAGGAAGGUCCCCCACAUUGGAACUGAGACACGGUCCAA